CCCUGCGUAUGACUAGCUACUGAAUCUUUAGUGUGUCAUUAAAGAUAACGUAAAGGAAAAUAAUGAUAUUACUUUACUAUUAGUGUCGUCCAAAUACUCGUGCCAGAAGACUCGGUAAGGCGAGAGACGCAAACGUUAUUCGUCUUGAUCAGGCGUAAAGGGUGUGUAGGCUGCUUUAAGAAUUAUUAUAAUAUUUACUGUUAUAAUUACUACAAUUUCACUUUACUAAGUUAAUUUAAAAAAUCAACGUAGUAUAAGCAAUUGGGAGGAUUAUAAUAUUUAUAUAAAUCAAUUAAAGCUAGAAUCUAAUUGAGGUUAAAACAAUACUUAAGGUAGGAGUACUAACCGUAAAUAUUAAGUAGAGUGCUAACGGCGAAGGCAUUUAACCAAUAAAGAUUGACGCUGAGAAACGAAAGUGAGGGCAGAAAAAAGGAUUAGAGACCCUUGUAUUCCUCACUGUCAACGAUGAAUGGUAGUUACUAGUUAGAAAUUAACUAGAGGCGAUGUUAACACGUAAACCAUUCCGCCUUGUGAGUACAACUGCAAAGUUGAAAACAAAAAAAUUAGUCGGUUUCGGAGCAAACGAAGUGAAGCAUGUUUUU
rnacentral:rRNA from 1 species